rnacentral:rRNA from 1 species
GACGAACGCUGGCGGCGUGCUUAACACAUGCAAGUCGAGCGGUAAGGCCCUUCGGGGUACACGAGCGGCGAACGGGUGAGUAACACGUGGGUGACCUGCCUCUAGCUCUGGGAUAAGCCUGGGAAACUGGGUCUAAUACCGGAUAUGACUCCACGGCGCAUGUUGUGGGGUGGAAAGCCUUGUGUGGCUAGAGAUGGGCCCGCGGCCUAUCAGCUUGUUGGUGGGGUGANGGCCUACCAAGGCGACGACGGGUAGUCGGCCUGAGAGGGCGACCGGCCACACUGGGACUGAGACACGGCCCAGACUCCUACGGGAGGCAGCAGUGGGGAAUCUUGCGCAAUGGGCGAAAGCCUGACGCAGCGACGCCGCGUGAGGGAUGACGGCC